GAGCAAGUCGGACCUCUCAGAGUGUGG
rnacentral:piRNA from 1 species